AUCAGACUGACACACUGCCCACUAUGCUAAGAAGGUCCUUAUGCUUUUUUUUUUUUUUUUAACUGUUUGUUGGUAUAUGUUACAAACUUUUGAGCAUAUACAUUCACACCUCAUUUUGGUAUUUUUUGAUCCUAUGAAGAAAAACUCUGCACACAAAUUAAUGGAAAUACUAAUUAACUUUUAAAAGACAAUACUAACUACCAUUGUAUGAUUCAGAUCUUUCUUAUUCACUGUGCAGCAUGCUUUUUCUUCUUACGUACUUACUCUGCAAAGUAGCUGCCAAGUAAAAUUUUACUUGGUGGUUGAAUAAACAUGGAACCUGCAGAAGUACCAGCCAAAAAUCCUAUAGUCCUGCGUAGGUUGGUGGAUUCCUUGCUUUUACUUUGUUUGGCUUUUCAGUGGAAAUUCAAAUAGCAGUAGGUGAGCUGGGUGUGGCUGGAUAUAGGUGGAAGAUGUAAUUCUCAUCCGUUCAAUGAAAGGGCAACCGUGAGUCCAGAUCCUGUCAGAUAGAGCUGGAAGCCUUCAGUUUGGAUACUCGUGGAAAGGACUUGAAGAGCAUCCAUUGCUGAACUUAGGAAAGCAUUGACCUGGCCUUUUUGUGGAGAUUGUUUUGGAGAGUCAUCCUCUAUGAUGUGUGGACACAGGAUCUGUCUAAGGUGCCUCCCCCUUGGUCAUGGAGGCCAACAGAAGGCUUAUUAUCUGUCUAGAGUGUCUGUAGUUUCAUGGAAAAAGCAAAUUGGCACCAGACAAAGAGUUGGAGCCAGCCCUGGACAGUGGCCUGUGAAUUUGCCCUGGAAUGAUGAAUUCUCUGUGACCAUGUAUUCAUUUCCUCCAGCUGCUGUAGGAAAUUACUGCAAACUGGGUGGCUUAAGGCAGUAGACAGUGAUUGUCUCAUAGUUCUGGAAGUUAGUAGUCCAAAAUCAGGUGUUGGCAUGGCCAUGCUCCUGCCAAACUCUAGGGGAGGGUCCUGCCUUGCCUCUUCCCUUGGCUGCAGCUGUCCCAAGCUGGUCUCUGCUCCUCAGAGCCUGGCCUUCUUUCCUGUGUAUCUGUCUCUGUGUGUCCUUUCCUCUUCUUCUGAGGACAUGAGUCACAUUGAAUUUAGGGCCCACCCGGCCCAAUAUGACCUUGUCUUAACUGGUUACAUCUGCGAAGAUACUGUUUUCAAAUAAGGUCACAUUCAGAGUUCCAGGUGGAUGUGAAUUUUUGAGAGACACUAUUCAACCUGAUAUAGACAGUGAUAGGAAAAUUCAGAAAAGAAUUAACCUGUUCUACUGGCCUGAGCCAUUAUGAAGACCUCGGUUUAAGAUUCCACAAACCUAACUACUGCUUCACUCAUCUAAGGAGGGAGAGAACCAAGAUGAUCUUUUUUGUCCCCAGUGCUUUGCCAUCUCUCAGAUACAGAGGAUCCAGAUCAGCAUGGCCCUGGGGAGGCUGGUAGCUGAGGUGGAAAUGUUUAUGCCCGUGUUGAGUUCGCAGUGUUGGAUGCUGAAGUUCUAGGUGCAUGUGAGUCUGGGUCCAGUCAUGGGCAAUGACUUCCUCAUAUCUUCUGAUGAUAUGAGGAGCCUCAGGUGUGGGGACGUCCAGCAGAGUUGACCCAGGAACCUGGAGAUGUUCAUCUCUACUUCUUGUGCACUGGCUUCCCUUCUCUUCAGUUCUGGCCGCUGCUAUUAAGUGGUAGAAGUGGAAGAGACAGCUGAAUGGGCUCUGGUGCCUGCAGCGAAUCUGCAUAUUGUUAAAGGAACUUUCCCUGUAUCUUCAGACCUUGGGCUCUGGGUUGCGUGCCUAAGGGAAGGACAUGAAGUAGCUGUCAGCUCUGAAUGCUGGUCACCGCCAGGCUUGCAGUUCAGGAGUAUUUUCCUGGACUGUGAUCUGAGAGCUGUUUUUUUUUCAGUGCCCCGUGUGAGUUAGAGUUAUCGUUCCUUUCUAGUGGGCUCAUCAUUUCUAAUUAAACAAAACAUUUUACAAAUUUGUUACAUCCUAUAAUAAUUUUUAGUUGAAUUAAGGAACUGAUGUCUCACUGUUAUGUUUUAACAGCUUUGUUGAGGUAGAAGGUAAUACCUUCUAAAUUAUGCACUUUGGUACAUUGUGGCUUAUGUAUACACUUGUGAAACCAUCACCACAAUCAAGAUAGUGAACAAACCCAUCACCUGUAAAUUCUCCCAUGCCCCUUUGUAUUCUCCGCCUCUAGCCCCUCUCCACCCUCUCUCAUCCCCGAGCCACAACUGAUUUGCUUUUGUCAUCACAGAUUAGUUUGCAUUUUUCUAGAGAUUUAUAUAAGUGGAAUCAUUCUGUAAGUAGUCUUUUGUAGCUGGUGCUUUUCACUCAGCAAAAUUAUUUUGGGAUUUACCAAUGUUGCUGUAUGUAUUAACAACUCAUGUCUUUUCAUUUCUGAGUAGUGCUCUAUGACAUGGAUGCACAAAAUGGGUUUUUCCAAACAUUUGUGGAUGGACAUUCAGAUUAUUUCCAGCUUUGGGCUGCUACAAGUGAAACCACUGUGAAUGUUUGUGUAAAAACUGUAACAGACAACUAUAGGAGUUCCCGUCGUGGCUCAGUGGUUAAUGAAUCUGACUAGGAACCAUGAGGUUGCCGGUUCCAUCCCUGGCCUUGCUCAGUGGGUUAAGGAUCCGGCAUUGCCAUGAGCUAUGGUGUAGCUUGCAGAAGUGGCUUGGAUCUGGUGUUGCUGUGGCUGUGGUGUAGGCCGGUGGCUACAGCUCUGAUUCCACCCCUAGCCUGGAACCUCCAUAUGUCACAGGAAGUGGUCCUAGAAAAGACCAAAACAAAAAACAAACCUGUAGCAGACAACUAUACCAUAGGGAAGUGCAAAAAUAAAAUAUGUACAUCAUCGACCCCGUACAAUUCCCAUGUUUCCAGGGAAGCUGCUCUGGCAAGGGUUACUUGUGAGGCAAUGAUUGCUAAAACCAGGUAAUUGGUUUUAGGUCCUUAUAUUACAUUAUUGUAAUAUUGUUUACAUUAUGGUAAUUGUUUAUGUCCUUAUAUUACAUUAUUUCGUAGCCUAAGACUUGUUGACCAUUCAUUCUGCCGAUUCUUUCAUCCUCAGUUUCCAUCGCUUUGUUUCUUCUAAUGCUUCCCUCUCUGGUACUAACUCAUUCCCUGUCUUUGUUAAAGUGCCUACAUGUGUAUGUUCCUUUUUAAAAUUUUUUUUUAAAUUUUUAUUUAUUUUUUGUCUUUUUAGGGCCACACCAGCAGCACAUGGGAGUUCCAAGGCUAGGGGUCAAAUUGGAGCUAUAGUGGCUGGCCUACACCACAGCUACAGCAGCACGGGAUCUGAGCCGCAUCUGUAACCUACACCACAGCUCACGGCAACACCUGGUCCUUAACUCACUGAGCGUGGCCAGGGAUCAGACCUGCGUCUUCAUGGAUACUAGUUGGAUUUUGUGUUUGAAAAAUAAUUUCUUUUUUUUAAUUCUUGCACCUUCCAUGUCUACAGACACUUCUAAAGUGUCGAAAACUAAAAGACGUGAUCACUUGUCUUUCGCUUCUGAGAAAGCAAAACAAACAAAAAAGUGUUCCUUAGGGUUCCAUUUUCAGCUUGUUUUUCUUAUUAGGCAGUGUUUUCUCUCUUUCUGAACAGUCUUAUCUCCCUCAUGGAUUCGACUGACAUGUGUUUGCUGUUGACUCCCAAGCUGACUCUCCAGCCUGGCUCUGCUGUUCUUCAGACAUCCUCAUAAUUCUCUUGUCUCUUGUUAUAUGUUGUUGAAAAUUCACAACCAAAUUUUGUUUAUUCACACGUUUGUUUUUAACCCUCAGUCAGUGUCCGUGUGAAUAUAUAUAUAUGUUUAGUCUGUACCAUUAUAAGUAAUUGGAGGAAACCACUCAUGACCCUGCUUUUAUCCAACUGCUUCAUAAAGAAUCAUGUUAACCUUUGUCUUUCAGCCAGUUUAGCCAUGCUCUUUGUGUACAGCACAAUUUGUUGUUUGGUGGAAUUGUGUGGUAGGAGCAUCUUUACAGCUUUUCUGCCUCUUUUUCACAUUUUCUUCUACUCUUUGAGUUUCACCUUCCAAGACAAUUCUGAAACUAUUCUCUCAGAAAGCUAUAAGUAAUUUCUGCAUUUUCUUGGUUGGUUUUGUUUUUGAUUGUCCUGCUCUUAGCCAAGUCUGCAGUCUUUAGCUGCAAAACUUCUGGCAACUCUCCUUCCAAAAUGUGCAUAAUUGGCUGUUGGGUGUAGUUUUGUAUAGAUAUAGCUCAGGAUUUUCCCACCCAAGAUAGAAGAAGGUUUGGACUCUUUUGUAUUUCCACAAAGAUAAAACCUCUCUCUGAAAUAAACACAUAAAUACAUCCUAUAUUUUUUAGAUUUCCUUUGUGUGUAGCACCAAAUAACUGUGGUCUGGAUCUGCCAGCAUCUUCACUGUCGAGUCCAUGGUGCAAAGCCACGGUCUUCAGUGAUUCCUAUUGUUUAGAUGCAUGAGUCCUUCAGGGACUAGGACAAAAUGUACACACUGUGUGUGCACAGACAGGUCCAAAUUGAAUCAGCUGAACUCUCGGGAGCUGUUAAAGUCAGGGAGCUCAAGGUCAUUGACAGAACGAAUGCACCAGUGGAUAGUCAUUCCAUCCAAAAAACGCAUUGCCAUUUUAAAAUGUAAAGAAGAAAAAUACAUCUAUCAUUUUAAAAAACCGUUAAUUUUGAUUGGAGUUAUAGGGAUACUCACUAAAAAGAAAAUGGAGCUACUUAGAGUCUUGUGUUUAUAAAAAAAAAAUUUGACAUCGCAUUUUUGAGCAAUUCUGGUAGGAAGCUGCGCUCAUUUGUGGGAGCCAGUAGGUUUUUUUUUUUGCAGCCAACAGGAAAAAAAAAAAAA
rnacentral:lncRNA from 1 species